rnacentral:rRNA from 1 species
CCUACGGGUGGCUGCAGUAGGGAAUAUUGCUCAAUGGGGGAAACCCUGAAGCAGCAACGCCGCGUGGAGGAUGAAGGUCUUCGGAUUGUAAACUCACUUUGAUAGAGAAGAUAAUGACGGUAUUUAAUGACUAAGCACCGGCUAACUCCGUGCCAGCAGCCGCGGUACUACGGAGGGUGCAGGCGUUCCUCUGAAUCACUGGGCGUAAAGAGCGCGUGGGCGGGAUAGGAAGUCAGCUGUGAAAUCCUAUGGCUUAACCAUAGAACUGCAUUUGAAACUGGUAGUCUUGAGUAUGGGAGAGGUGGGUGGAAUUCUUGGUGUAGGGGUAAAAUCCGUAGAGAUCAAGAGGAAUACUCAUUGCGAAGGCGACCUGCUAGAAGAUAACUGACGCUGAUGCGCGAACGCGUGGGGAGCAAACAGGAUUAGAUACCCGUGUAGUC